rfam:Candidatus Aminicenantes bacterium RBG_13_59_9 RBG_13_scaffold_21656, whole genome shotgun sequence.
GCCCCUGUCGUCUAGCCCGGUCAGGACAUCGCCCUUUCAAGGCGGCAACACGGGUUCAAAUCCCGUCGGGGGCG